rnacentral:rRNA from 1 species
GACGAACGCUGGCGGCGUGCCUAAUACAUGCAAGUCGAACGGAAAGGCCAUGCUCUUGUGGGGUGCUCGAGUGGCGAACGCGUGAGAAACACGUGAGUAACCUGUCCCUGUCUUUGGGAUAUCUCCUGGAAACAGGGGCUAUUAUCGCAUAUGAGCUCUUGCUGCACGGGGUGCGUUGGUAAGAUUCGGCGGUGGGGGAUGGACUCGCGGCUUAUCAGCUUGUUGGUGUGGUAGUGGCUUACCAAGGCUCUGACGGGUAGCCGGCCUGGGAGGCUGACCGGCCACAAUGGGACUGAGGUACGGCCCAGACUCGUACGGGAGGCAGCGGUGGGAAAUAUGGCACAAUGGGCGGAAGCCUGAUGCAGCAACGCCGCGUGCGGGAAGACGGCCUUCGGGUUGUAAACCGCUUUCGCCUGUGACGAAGCGUGAGUGACGGUAAUGGGUAAAGAAGCACCGGCUAACUACGUG